GGGCCCUUAGCUCAGUGGUUAGAGCGCUCGGCUCAUAACCGAGUGGUCGCCGGUUCGAACCCGGCAGGGCCCA
rnacentral:tRNA from 1 species